UGGGGAAUUUUGGACAAUGGGCGAAAGCCUGAUCCAGCAAUGCCGCGUGUGUGAAGAAGGCCUUCGGGUUGUAAAGCACUUUUGUCCGGAAAGAAAUCCUUGGCUCUAAUACAGUCGGGGGAUGACGGUACCGGAAGAAUAAGCACCGGCUAACUACGUGCCAGCAGCCGCGGUAAUACGUAGGGUGCAAGCGUUAAUCGGAAUUACUGGGCGUAAAGCGUGCGCAGGCGGUUUGCUAAGACCGAUGUGAAAUCCCCGGGCUCAACCUGGGAACUGCAUUGGUGACUGGCAGGCUAGAGUAUGGCAGAGGGGGGUAGAAUUCCACGUGUAGCAGUGAAAUGCGUAGAGAUGUGGAGGAAUACCGAUGGCGAAGGCAGCCCCCUGGGCCAAUACUGACGCUCAUGCACGAAAAGCGUGGGGAGCAAAACAGGAUUAGAUACCCUGGUAGUCCACGCCCUAAAACGAUGUCAACUAGUUGUUGGGGAUUCAUUUCCUUAGU
rnacentral:rRNA from 1 species